UAACUUUUUCCUUCAAACCUAUUUAAGUUCUACGGUUUGCGAACCGUUCUUUUUCAUCGAGUCACCUUUCUGUGUGACCUUUCUUUACAUACCAAGAAGCGCUCGUUCAACGGGCGCUUGGUAUAGGCUGGUUUUUUCUCAUACCCGUUUCUGCGGAAACGAUCCCGACGGUGGAACUCUCCACGUGGUUUUGCGAAACCUAACCUCCAAUUCGGAACCGAUCCUGCAACCGGGCACCCCCUCGUGUCCCCUGCUCCGCUCGUGCGUGCUGCUAAGGCCCGCCUUUCGAGGCAGUCAAACGGAGGUCGAGGUAAUUCGCUAAAGUUAUCGUUUGCGAGAUACCCAUCGGUCGCCAAUUGCCGAUUGGAAGUUAGGAUCCCAACCCGCUACAACCCCCCUCGUGGAUCCGCCGAGAGCGUACGCCGACAAAUGCGUACAAUAAAGUGUCUGGAUUCGUUUGAGUUUUAACUUAAAGCCUCCAAUGGUGGGGUGUUCGUUUGCUCUUACUUGACGACGACACUGUCCGGACCUGCGCCGACCUCGUGUCGAACGCGCCGCGCGGCAUUCCGUGCCGAACGCGCCGAGCUUAGCUCGUGUAAAGCUCUCGAGUAACAACCCGAAGAAAUCGGAAGUCUUCCGUCCAGCCGAGCC